GGAUAAUAGAAACAUACUUAGCCUCUUUGACAAUCUUGAUGAUAGAAUUUCUAAAUUAGAAGCCAUAAGUGAAAUCAACUCAUUCUGAAUUUUAUGACCAAGAUAACGAUAAUGAAUCUCUUUGUUUUAAAUGUCUAAGAUGUUUUUGCAUUACCAAGUCAAAUUCUGCAACUAUCGCAACACAAGCUAAGAAGUUACCCUUAAGGUAUUGUGAACUUGCUCACUGGAUCUUCUAAAAGGCAUAGCGUAAGGGAUGUCUUAUUACGAAUAAUUGCCAUUUUGAAAUUUCUUGUUGAACACAAUUGGCUUUUAGAGGAGCCAUCGAGCAACUUUACAAUGAACUUAAUGGUAAUUUCUUAGCUUGUGAUGGGAUCAUUGCAGAAUUUGAUUUGGUAAUGCAAGACCAUCUUAGGCGUAUUAAAAAACAGAGAGAUUCAUUAGCAUUAUCCUAGCCAUAAAAUUCAGUAUGAGUCGAUUUCUCUUAUGGCUUCUAACUUGCAAAUUUUAUCAUCAAGAUUGUUAAAGAGGCCAAGUAUUUCUUUGUUAUC